rnacentral:lncRNA from 1 species
GAAGUUCGGAGUUUCACAGGAGAGAGUUGGAAAUUUGGAAGAAACCGUAGGAAAUUUGCUAUGGAAAUACUUUAAGAGUAAAAGACCGUGUCUGUAAAUAUGAAGAAAAUGGUGAAUGAAGAGUCACACAUUUUUUAUGUCUUUAUAUAACAAAGGCAUAAAAUAAUUUAAUUAUAGUUUACCAUAGUUAGAAUAUACUAUGAUAUACAUUUUGACCAAAAUUGAUAUAAUAAUAAUAAAAUACUAUAUAAGAUAAUUUUAUAUUAUUCUUAUUGAAUUUUGGAUACAUUGUACCAAACCGAUAAAUGGGGGGAAUGCAAAAUAAACGGCUCUUUUUUUUAUUUUUGUUCAUUUUGGAUUUAGAGGGAAAAGUAAAUUUUCCUAAUUUUAAAAAGAUUUAACCAUAAAUUUUUUUAAUUUUUAAUUUUAUUCCACGGUGUUGAAAUAUAAGCUAAAAUAUAGAUGGUUAUUAAAUGUUGAAAAUAUAAGCUAAAAUAUAGAUUUUGAAAAGCAUCAAACCCAUAAACUUAGAAAAAAUAAAAUAAUUUUCACAGUGAGGGUUUAGGACAUACAUCCAUAUAAUUUCACCUUAAAACUUCAGGAAGAAUUAAUAUCUACAUUUCAUAGCAAACUAGAGAUAUUUUGCAGGACAUAUUAGUAACCUUUUAUUUGACACACACAAAAAAAAAAAAAAAAAAAAAAAAAAAAAAAAAAAAAUCCUGAAAUCUAUGGUUUGCACCCUCAAUUUGAAAAUAUUGGCUCAAGAUCAACCAUCAAUAUGUUGAUUGGAAAACCCAUAAAUCUAGAAAAGGGAAAAUUAUUUUCACAAUGAGAACCUGUCAACAUUUGACUGGAAAAACAAAUGAAUCGCCAAAGGGAAGUAUCUAUGGGCAUUAGUUUAAAAUCUAAAUGCUUGAUAUAUUUUAAGAAGUUGUCCUUGAAAGAUAGCCAUCCAGUUGAUGGUUGAAAUAUGUUUGUCAUAAUAACAAUACCUCAAUAGUGCAAAAUUUCAUAACUUAAUUUGCCAAUCAUGCAAAAAAUCAUCACAAUCACACAAAAAGAAACAAUCAAAUGACACUUUAGUUGUAUAGAUAUAGAUGAUUAAAUUGAUGUUGGAAUUAUUUUGAGGAAUAAUAAAAUGAUGACACUUGUAUCUUUGGAAAUCAAAUAAGGGAGUUAAUUGGAUUCUAUCUAAUUUAUUCAAGCUCAAUUUAUCGUUAAACUGUUUCUUGUAUAUUGGUUCUAAGAGACCCCUAGUGGAUGGAUGAAGUAUAAGAGUUAUGAUAUUUGCAAGGGAGGUGGAGAGAUAGAAGGAUGAUGAAGCUUGAUUUAAAUUUUGAAGGGAGAUGGAUCAAAGGUUACAUUAGAAAAAUGUUAACUUCUGACACUUUUCAUGUUGAAAUCUAGGGCAUACACCUUAGUUUUGAUUGGAGAGAACUUUUUAUCUCAUUGUAGAAAGUGACUCAAUAAUUAUACAUGCUCGUAUAUAAAUGCAAGAUUAGUGGGGUGGUUCAUGUUUUGUUGCGGCACAUUCAUUGUCUUUUGGCAUUAGAUUGGCAUGUUUCGUUUUGUCACAAUAUGAGGGAAGAAACCAGAGUACUGAUUGGCUAGCUAAUUUUUUGGUUUCUCUAUAUUCCUUUAGUUGUACUAAUGUUGAAGCUCCUCAUAGUGAGAUUCAUAUACUUCUUUUUGCGAUAUUGUCAGGGUUUGCAUGCCUAAGAAUGUCCAUUUUAUUUUGUAGUUUUUUCUUUGGAAUUUGGCCCUCUUUUGUACCAAAAAGAAAAAAGAAUAAACUGAAGACAAGCAUAACAUGGACUCUGAAAAUAUGUAAUAUUUCACAUUUACAAAUUCAUAGAAUUUGAAAUUAUGGCUUAACUCAACCACACAAAACUAGUUUGUAAGGUGAGAAUGUCCACUAAUUAUAAGCAUUACUUUGGCCUUAUUUCUAGGCUAUUUGGGAAUAAAUACACCUCAUCACACCCAGAAUAAUGAAGGCAUUGGAGGUUGCCAUGAAGGAAGCUCCAAGUAGUUGAUAUUAUAGUGACUAGGGGAAGGGCGCAAUUAAGGCGGCUUUCUAACACUACCUCUCACGUACACGACUUUACACCUAGAUCUUGUAAUGUGUGGGUGAUCCAACAAAAGAUCUAUGAUAUUCAUUUACACCAUCUUAGAUAUGCGACCUGGAAUAUAACUUAACCCCACAAAAUUGAAUUGAAAGGCGAAAGCCAAAUGAGCAUUACUUAGGCUAUGUCUUUAGGUGAUUUGAGACUCAACCGCUAGCUAACACCCAAUCAAUAACAAUGAAGAUUUUGAAGACUACAAUGCAUGCAAGACAAAGUUGCCGACAUUACUUUGGCUUUCCAACAUAUGUAAAUUUCCUUAUACACAACAAUCAUAUAAUUGUUUGAAAAGAAUUUCAACAAAGGAAAACAAUGGGAAACGACAAGUCUUCUAUUUUUUUUUUAACCUAUCAAGCAUGGUUCAACUGCAAAUUCAACAUUGAGACUCAAUUUAUAUAUUUUUUUAAUUUAAUCAAAUAGUGAAAAGAAUCUCCUGAAACCAAAUAGGAAAACUAUAAGUGAAUAUUUCAUGCUUCAAUUUUUAAAAAUAUACAUACAACAAUAUGAAAAGCACGGAUAUACAUCAUAAAAAUUAGCAAAAUUAAAAGAUGGAGUAUAUAAGCAUGUGAAACCAUACUUGACGAUGAUCGGGGCAAGCCAUUGGAAACAUUAGACCUCUUAGAAUCAUCUUCGUCACUCGCUUGCUCUGAAUUCUUUGCGGACAUCUUGUCAACUUGCAUCUUUGUGUGAUAUAAGAUUGAGCUUAACCCCUUAGAUCUAGGUAGUAAAUCCAAGAUAGAAGCGCAGAGCAUGUGACCCCAAAAAGGGGAUAACAAGAUCUCGGGUACUGAAAUCGUUUAGAUCACAAAGGAUAGGUUGUAUAACAACAGGGGAGAGAUCGUAAAAAAAAAACGCAUAAAAAUUCAAUGUAAUUGGGGGGAGAUGAAAUGUGUCUUUUGAUGUAUAUUCAAGUAGUAGUUGAUUCCAUUGUCACAAACAAAAAAACAUAUGAUAAGAAAAAAAACCAUAAAACAUGUGAUGAAUGAAAGGAUUUCGGGUUGAAAACGGCGUACACAAAGAGAGAAUGGAAACGAGAAGGUUUCGGGUUGAAAACGGCGUACACAAAGAGAGAAUGGAAACGAGAAGAGAGAAAAGGGUUAGGGUUGUGCAAAAAAACCCAAAUUACCCUUUCAAAGAGUUUAGAUUUUAAGGGCAAAAUUUUGAUUUUAUACGAGUUGGAACCGGGAAUCGGACUACACGAACCAGGAACCCGCUCUCCCACCUGAAGCGGCACUGAACUAUAAGUGGGCUUGGAUUAUCAUUCACGUUGCGAUUUUUCACUAACAUAUGUCACUCCUCCCAAACCACGAAGAG